GGCAGCGACGGAGACCGCAGUGCACCGGAGCGCAGCCUUCUGAUGACAGACGGCCAACCCAGAGAAUCCAGGACAGCCCCCCAUCUUAGGAUCACUAAUUAAACCACAGUUGCAAAGUGUGUUUUUCCAGGGAUUAGAAUGUGGACAUCUGGCCGGGCAUAGUGGCUCAU